rnacentral:rRNA from 1 species
AGAGUUUGAUCCUGGCUCAGGAUGAACGCUAGCGGCAGGCUUAACACAUGCAAGUCGAGGGGUAUAGUAGCAAUACUAGAGACCGGCGCACGGGUGCGUAACGCGUAUGCAAUCUACCUUUUGCAGAGGGAUAGCCCAGAGAAAUUUGGAUUAAUACCUCAUAGUAUAUAGAGUUGGCAUCAACACUAUAUUAAAGUCACAACGGCAAAAGAUGAGCAUGCGUCCCAUUAGUUAGUUGGUAAGGUAACGGCUUACCAAGACUACGAUGGGUAGGGGUCCUGAGAGGGAGAUCCCCCACACUGGUACUGAGACACGGACCAGACUCCUACGGGAGGCAGCAGUGAGGAAUAUUGGACAAUGGGCGCAAGCCUGAUCCAGCCAUGCCGCGUGCAGGAUGACGGUCCUAUGGAUUGUAAACUGCUUUUGUACAGGAAGAAACAUCCCGACGUGUCGGGACUUGACGGUACUGUGAGAAUAAGGAUCGGCUAACUCCGUGCCAGCAGCCGCGGUAAUACGGAGGAUCCAAGCGUUAUCCGGAAUCAUUGGGUUUAAAGGGUCCGUAGGCGGUUUAGUAAGUCAGUGGUGAAAGCCCAUCGCUCAACGGUGGAACGGCCAUUGAUACUGCUAGACUUGAAUUAUUAGGAAGUAACUAGAAUAUGUAGUGUAGCGGUGAAAUGCUUAGAGAUUACAUGGAAUACCAAUUGCGAAGGCAGGUUACUACUAAUGGAUUGACGCUGAUGGACGAAAGCGUGGGUAGCGAACAGGAUUAGAUACCCUGGUAGUCC